rnacentral:piRNA from 1 species
UGACAUUCAGCUCUGAAUCUCCUCGGGGGA